rnacentral:rRNA from 1 species
UACGGAGGAGGCAAGCGUUAUCCGGAAUUACUGGGCGUAAAGAGAUGCGUAGGCGGCCCGCCAAGUUUUUGUUAAAAUUUCAGAGCUCAACUUUGAAACUGGCAAGAAAACUGGCGAGCUAGAGUGCGAGAGAGGUAGCUGGAAUUCCUAGUGUAGGGGUAAUAUCCGUAGAUACUAGGAGGAACACCAAUGGCGAAGGCAGGCUACUGGCUCGUAACUGACGCUCAGGCUCGAAAGCGUGGGGAGCGAA